rnacentral:lncRNA from 1 species
AAGACAAAGACCCAUAAAUUUUGGCACAAAUUCUGGAUUCAUCUAAAAGGACCACUAUUAUUAAUUAUUACAAGCCAAGAACAAAUAUGUGAACAAGCAAUCGCUAUUACAUACUUCAUCGUUCUUAUCACUUCUUUCUUCCCUUCUUCCUUAUCAACAAUUUGAACUUUGGAGUUGUUCCCUAUUGCUUUACUUUUUCUUUUU